UAAUAACUUUCAUUUAGUUCUGCGGUAAGGUGGCAAAUAUACUUAGCCAUAUUGUAAAUCAAAGACAAAUAGUCAAAAUGCUUAUCAUUCUAAACUUAGUGUUUCUUUUACAAAUCACUGAAGUAACUGCUGACAUCGGACUGAGCGAGCAAACGCCUUUCUUAAUGAAGAUCAAGAAUCAAAGAAAAAAUGAGAAGGUUUAGACUUUAUUGAGCCAUUAAUGAGAAGACAGAGUAAAGACUUGCACCACCUCUGAAGUGAACAAAAAAUGUCUUGCUAUUCUGUUCCAUAGCACUGCGUUCUGCAGAUUUCAGAUCUUUACUUUUAGAAGAAACGUCAGCCUCCCUUCUCCAACAUCCAGCACAGGGCACUGAUGAGCAGCAACAGAGAGUCCUUCAGCAUCUUACCGAGGCAGAGAAGUGGUGUGCUGAGAACAUUUCUGUGUUCAGAGGGCACAUCUCACUCCCUGCAUUACUGUCAAUGGACAAAGAUGACAUUGAGGAGGCCCUUCAGAAAUAUGAGUUGUUAUCUGAAUUUCCAGAAGAAGACAAGAAGGAAUAUGUCCUUAGACCCGUCAUCAUCCUUUUUUUCACAUAUGAAAGACAUGCAUCUUUAGAAAAUUGGAGGAAAAAGGAAAAUGACUGUGGUUUGUGAGAAAAUGUAUCAAACAUACAUGGCCCUCAUUGUUCAGUUACAACCUACAAUUCUUGUUUUAUAUUUUAUAUAUUCUUUAACCUUUUUGUAAUAAAUGUUGCAAACCAACUUCAUC